CUCAGCCUGUCCUGGCUUCUCUGUGGCUGCACUGGCUCACGUGGAAGUGAAGGAGCAGCUGAUAGUGAUCUGCAUUGAUUCCUGUGACCUGCUAAAUCUGAAGCAAUAUUUUGAGACCAUACAUCUAUUUCGUUGGGGAAGUCCAGAGCAAAAUCAGAUGUCAGACAUAUAGAAAUGAGAUGCUAAACUAUGGCUUCUGUUUCUGGAAGAAUAUUUGCUGUCACAUUGGAAACCCUGAUACCAUGUCUCUAAGUUUAGAGUCUCAAUGCUAAACUGACC